GGGGAAGUCCGUUUCUACACAGGGAA
rnacentral:sRNA from 1 species